rnacentral:tRNA from 1 species
GGGGACUGUAGCUUAGUGGAAGAGCCUCAGCUUUGCAUGUAGAAGGUUCUGGGUUCAAUCUUUGGCAUCUCCU